GGGGGAUCCAGUUGUCCGUGUGGCAGCAGGCCCGUCUCCAGGCAGGUCAGGAACUGGAGCAGGUGUCCUCCCCGGGGGAACCGCAGUGGAGGCCUCUGGAUCCCAUCCUGACUCACCAGAACCACUGUCCCACCACUGUCCACUGGGAAAAAACAUGAUCACAAGUAUCAUCUGCCACAGUGCCAUUCAUGAGCUGGUUGGGCGUCCAUUUCAGGGUCAUGAGAUCUGCAGUCUGGUGGAGAGACAGAGAUCUGUCUGGCCACAUCCUGGCAAUAGAAGCUACAAGAAGAGGUCCAUUAAUACCUAACAGAGAGGCAAGGAUUGGUCCAUCCACAGCAUCCAUUAGAAUGGCCUCCCUGUCAUAGAAAGUACUGGAAGAGAGAAAACCAUGUUUACUAAAAAUGGUGCAAGACGUUCUCUGAAAAGUGACUGUAAUACUGUUUUCACAUAAGAUUUACAGUAUUUUGACUGUAAAAAAAAAUUGCAAUGUUUAUAUGACCCCCUUACAAUCAAGCCCAUUUCUCCCACUUGCCUCAACAUGCCUUUUAUACCUCCCGUGUGCAUUCUGGCAGGUCAGUGACAAGUGGUAAUAGUAAUGUGCAGAUGUGGGUAAUUUUAAUAAAUCCAUUGAAUAUACACCAUCAAAAAUAAAAAUAUUAUUUAUUUGUUUAGGCAAGUCCUACGAAACAUAAGACUAAUAAAAAUAAUUUUCAAAACAAUAGAAUUACAUAUUUUGAGUUUAAUUAUGCUACGUUCAAAUGAAUGAAAUCUAUUUUGUUCAUUAAACAGUCAAGACACACCUACCCCGAUCACAGUCCACACCCAUAUACUUUGUAGUAGGAAUAUAAUAGAAUAUCAACAGAGUAAAAUACAAAUAAUAUUGUUCCCACACAACUUGUGUCACGGGAAUGUGUGGAACAGCUGUCAUAUAAAAAAAGUGAUAGCCUAUUAUUGCUAAAUGUUUCUGA